rnacentral:rRNA from 1 species
UACGUAGGGCGCAAGCGUUGUCCGGAAUUAUUGGGCGUAAAGAGCUCGUAGGCGGCCUGUUACGUCUGCUGUGAAAUCCCGGGGCUUAACCCCGGGCGUGCAGUGGAUACGGGCAGGCUGGAGGCAGGCAGGGGAGAACGGGAAUUCCCGGUGUAGCGGUGAAAUGCGCAGAUAUCAGGAAGAACACCCGUGGCUAAGGCGGCUCUCUAGUACGGUACUGACGCUGAGACGCGAAAGCGUGGGGAGCGAACAGG